rnacentral:rRNA from 1 species
AACGUAGGAGACGAACGUUAUCCGGAGUUACUGGGCGUAAAGGGCGUGCAGGCGGUCUGAUAAGUUCGGCGUGAAAUAUUCCGGCUUAACCGGGAUAGGUCGUCGGAGACUGUCGGACUAGAGGGUGAUAGAGGCGUGUGGAAUUCCGGGUGUAGUGGUGAAAUGCGUAGAGAUCCGGAGGAACACCAGUGGCGAAGGCGACACGCUGGGUCACACCUGACGCUAAAGCGCGACAGCAUGGGAAGCGAACGGG